GCAGUGGUGGAGGAGGAGGAUGAGGUAGCCAACACUGUUUUUUCUAUAUAUAUAUAUAUAUAUAUAUAUAUAUUUUAAUUGGGGUGGCCCCCAAAAUAUUGGGACAUAUAAAGAAAGACAACUCUGUUCCGCAGAGUAGCUGCUGACAUUAUAGUUGCGCAGACACUUUGUUGACUCUAGAGAACCUUGGCCAAUCGCACAUCCCCGUGGCAACGACUUUGCAUGCGGAUGUCAUCCAUAUCAACUUUCGAUGCCAGUUUCUGCGCCUACCAUGGUUACCACGGGUAACGGUGAAUCAGGGAUCCAUUCCAUACAGGGACCCUGAGAAACAGCUACCACAUGCAUGGAAGGCAGC